rnacentral:rRNA from 1 species
GAACGCUGGCGGCAUGCCUUACACAUGCAAGUCGAACGGCAGGCGCGGACUUCGGUCUGGCGGCGAGUGGCGAACGGGUGAGUAAUGUAUCGGAACGUACCAUUCAGUGGGGAUAACGCAGCGAAAGUUGCGCUAAUACCGCAUAUUCUGUGCGCAGGAAAGUAGGGGAUCGCAAGACCUUGCGCUGAUUGAGCGGCCGAUAUCAGAUUAGCUAGUUGGUGAGGUAAAGGCUCACCAAGGCGACGAUCUGUAGCGGGUCUGAGAGGAUGAUCCGCCACACUGGAACUGAGACACGGUCCAGACUCCUACGGGAGGCAGCAGUGGGGAAUUUUGGACAAUGGGCGCAAGCCUGAUCCAGCCAUGCCGCGUGAGUGAAGAAGGCCUUCGGGUUGUAAAGCUCUUUCGGCCGGGAAGAAAUCGUAUGGGUUAAUACCCUGUGCGGAUGACGGUACCGGCAUAAGAAGCACCGGCUAACUACGUG